AGCAGCCGCGGUAAUUCCAGCUCCAAUAGCGUAUAUUAAAGUUGUUGCAGUUAAAAGCUCGUAGUUGAAUUUCGGGAUUUAUCCGUUGGUCGGGCUUUUUGGGUCUGUACUGGCGUGAUGGAUUCCUACCUUCUGAAUAACCGGCAUGCCAUUAAUUUGGUGCGCCGGGGAAGCAGGACUGUUACCUUGAAAAAAUUAGAGUGCUUAAAGCAGGCUUAUGCCUGAAUACAUUAGCAUGGAAUAAUGAAAUAGGACGCAUGGUUCUAUUUUGUUGGUUUCUAGGAUCACCGUAAUGAUUAAUAGGGAUAGUUGGGGGGCAUUAGUAUUCAAUUGUCAGAGGUGAAAUUCUUGGAUUUAUUGAAGACUAACUUCUGCGAAAGCAUUUUGCCAAGGAUGUUUUCAUUAAUCAAGAACGAAAGUUAGGGGAUCGAAGACGAUCAGAUACCGUCGUAGUCUUAACCAUAAACUAUGCCGACUAGGGAUCGGAUGAUGUUAAUUUUUUUAAUGACUCAUUCGGCGC
rnacentral:rRNA from 1 species